rnacentral:rRNA from 1 species
GACAGAGGCCCCGAGCGUUAGGCGGAAUCACUGGGCUUAAAGCGUGUGUAGGCGGACCCCUAAGUGUCUUGUGAAAUCCCACGGCUCACCCGUGGAACCGCUGGGCAUACUGGGGGUCUUGGGCCGUUCAGGGGCGACUGGAACAAGCGGUGGAGCGGUGAAAUGCGUAGAUAUCAGGAGGAACACCAAUGGCGAAGGCAGCUCGCUGGGACGUGACUGACGCUGAGACGCGAAAGCGUGGGGAGCAAACAGG